rnacentral:rRNA from 1 species
UACGUAGGGGGCAAGCGUUGUCCGGAUUUAUUGGGCGUAAAGAGCGUGUAGGCGGCCAGAUAGGUCUGUUGUGAAAACUCGAGGCUCAACCUCGAGACGCCGAUGGAAACCAUUUGGCUAGAGUCCGGAAGAGGAGAGUGGAAUUCCUGGUGUAGCGGUGAAAUGCGCAGAUAUCAGGAAGAACACCCGUGGCUAAGGCGGCUCUCUAGUACGGUACUGACGCUGAGACGCGAAAGCGUGGGGGAGCGAACAGG